GACGUAGGUGGCGAACGUUAUCCGGAUUUAUUGGGCGUAAAGAGCUCGUAGGCGGUCUGUCGCGUCUGCUGUGAAAACUCGGGGCUUAACCCCGGGCCUGCAGUGGGUACGGGCAGACUAGAGUGCGGUAGGGGAGACUGGAAUUCCUGGUGUAGCGGUGAAAUGCGCAGAUAUCAGGAGGAACACCGGUGGCGAAGGCGGGUCUCUGGGCCGUAACUGACGCUGAGGAGCGAAAGCAUGGGGAGCGAACAGG
rnacentral:rRNA from 1 species